AUUGAACGCUGGCGGCAGGCCUAACACAUGCAAGUCGAGCGGAUGAAGGGAGCUUGCUCCUGGAUUCAGCGGAGGACGGGUGAGUAAUGCCUAGGAAUCUGCCUGGUAGUGGGGGAUAACGUCCGGAAACGGGCGCUAAUACCGCAUACGUCCUGAGGGAGAAAGUGGGGGAUCUUCGGACCUCACGCUAUCAGAUGAGCCUAGGUCGGAUUAGCUAGUUGGUGGGGUAAAGGCCUACCAAGGCGACGAUCCGUAACUGGUCUGAGAGGAUGAUCAGUCACACUGGAACUGAGACACGGUCCAGACUCCGACGGGAGGCAGCAGUGGGGAAUAUUGGACGAUGGGCGAAAGCCUGAUCCAGCCAUGCCGCGUGUGUGAAGAAGGUCUUCGGAUUGUAAAGCACUUUAAGUGGGGAGGAAGGGCAGUAAGUUAAUACCUUGCUGUUUUGACGGUACCAACAGAAGAAGCACCGGCUAACUUCGUG
rnacentral:rRNA from 1 species